rnacentral:rRNA from 1 species
GACGAACGCUGGCGGCGUGCUUAACACAUGCAAGUCGAACGGAGAGGCCCUGCUUUUGUGGGGUGCUCGAGUGGCGAACGGGUGAGUAACACGUGAGUAACCUGCCCUUGACUUUGGGAUAACUUCAGGAAACUGGGGCUAAUACCGGAUAGGAGCUCCUGCUGCAUGGUGGGGGUUGGAAAGUGUCGGCGGUUGGGGAUGGACUCGCGGCUUAUCAGCUUGUUGGUGGGGUAGUGGCUUACCAAGGCUUUGACGGGUAGCCGGCCUGAGAGGGUGACCGGCCACAUUGGGCCUGCGAUACGGCCCAGACUCCUACGGGAGGCAGCAGUGGGGAAUAUUGCACAAUGGGCCGAAGCCUGAUGCAGCAACGCCGCGUGCGGGAUGACGGCCUUCGGGUUGUAAACCGCUUUCGCCUGUGACGAAGCGUGAGUGACGGUAAUGGGUAAAGAAGCACCGGCUAACUACGUG